rnacentral:rRNA from 1 species
UCGCCUGUUUAUCAAAAACAUGUUCUUUUGAUUUUAUAAAAGAUCUGGCCUGCCCAAUGAUUACUUUAAUGGCUGCAGUAUUUUGACUGUACAAAGGUAGCAUAAUAAUUUGUCUCUUAAUUGGAGUCUGGUAUGAAUGGUUAGAUGAAAAAUUGACUUUCUUUAUUUUAAAAAUAGAAUUUAAUUUUUGAAUCAAAAAGUUUAAAUUUUAAUAUAGGACGAGAAGACCCUAUAGAACUUUAUUUUUAUCAGAAAAUAUAUUAUUUAGUAAAUGUUCAUUAUUUUUUUUGUAUAAAAUUGUGUUGGGGUGACAAAAAAAAUUUAAUAACUUUUUUUAAAUUUAUCAUUAAUUUAUGAUAUUUUGAUCCUUUAAUAUGGAAAUAAGAUUAAGUUACCUUAGGGAUAACAGCGUUAUUACUUUGAAGAGUCCUAAUCUAUAAAGUAGUUUGCGACCUCGAUGUUGGAUUAAAAUUAGUUUCAGGAGCAGAAAAUUGAUAAACUAGGUCUGUUCGACCUUUAAAUUUUUACAUGAUCUGAGUUCAA